UGUUCAGCAAUUCCUUUCUGUACCUCCUCGUGAUACUGGCCGAAGUACGAGCAACCUAAGGGAAGAUCGGGUAACCAACCCCGGUGGGAACUUUGGUCGUUUGCUGACAGUGAAGG
rnacentral:ribozyme from 1 species